GUAUCUUCGAACAAGGAAACACUACUUAGGCUUUUAGGAUAUGGUUGCGGUUUAAGUUCUUAUACUCAAUCAUACACAUGACUUCAAGUCAUAUUCGACUCCAAAACACUAACGAAACUUCUUCUGGCUUCUCAAAGCUUUGAUGGUUUGGCCAAAGUCCAUAUGAGUUCUUAUCAUUGUAUCUUCUAACAAGGAAACACUACUUAGGCUUUUACGAUAAGGUUGCGGUUUAAGGUCUUAUACUCCAUCAUACACAUGACAUCAAGUCAUAUUCAACUCCAAAACACUAACCAAGCUUCUUCUUGCUUCUCAAAGCUUUGUUGGUUUAGCCGAAGUCCAUAUGAGUCUUUGUCUUUGUAUCUUCUAACAAGGAAACACUACUUAGGCUUUUAGGAUAUGGUUGCGGUUUAAGUUCUUAUACUCAAUCAUACACAUGACUUCAAGUCAUAUUCGACUCCAAAACACUAACAAAGCUUCUUCUGGCUUCUCAAAGCUUUGAUGGUUUGGCCAAAGUCCAUAUGAGUUCUUAUCUUUGUAUCUUCUAACAAGGAAACACUACUUAGGCCUUUAGGAUAAGGUUGCGGUUUAAGUUCUUAUACUCAAUCAUACACAUGACAUCAAGUCAUACUCGACUCCAAAACACUAACCAAGCUUCUUCUUGCUUCUCAAAGCUUUGAUGGUUUGGCCAAAGUCCAUAUGAGUUCUUAUCUUUGUAUCUUCUAACAAGGAAACACUACUUAGGCUUUUACGAUAAGGUAGUGGUUUAAGUUCUUAUACUCAAUCAUACACAUGACAUCAAGUCAUAGUCGACUCCAAAA
rnacentral:sRNA from 1 species